rnacentral:rRNA from 1 species
AUUGAACGCUGGCGGCAGGCUUAACACAUGCAAGUCGAACGAUGAUUAUCUAGCUUGCUAGAUAUGAUUAGUGGCGGACGGGUGAGUAACAUUUAGGAAUCUGCCUAGUAGUGGGGGAUAGCUCGGGGAAACUCGAAUUAAUACCGCAUACGACCUACGGGUGAAAGGGGGCGCAAGCUCUUGCUAUUAGAUGAGCCUAAAUCAGAUUAGCUAGUUGGUGGGGUAAAGGCCCACCAAGGCGACGAUCUGUAACUGGUCUGAGAGGAUGAUCAGUCACACCGGAACUGAGACACGGUCCGGACUCCUACGGGAGGCAGCAGUGGGGAAUAUUGGACAAUGGGGGCAACCCUGAUCCAGCCAUGCCGCGUGUGUGAAGAAGGCCUUUUGGUUGUAAAGCACUUUAAGCAGGGAGGAGAGGCUAAUGGUUAAUACCCAUUAGAUUAGACGUUACCUGCAGAAUAAGCACCGGCUAACUCUGUGCCAGCAGCCGCGGUAAUACAGAGGGUGCGAGCGUUAAUCGGAAUUACUGGGCGUAAAGCGAGUGUAGGUGGCUCAUUAAGUCACAUGUGAAAUCCCCGGGCUUAACCUGGGAACUGCAUGUGAUACUGGUGGUGCUAGAAUAUGUGAGAGGGAAGUAGAAUUCCAGGUGUAGCGGUGAAAUGCGUAGAGAUCUGGAGGAAUACCGAUGGCGAAGGCAGCUUCCUGGCAUAAUAUUGACACUGAGAUUCGAAAGCGUGGGUAGCAAACAGGAUUAGAUACCCUGGUAGUCCACGCCGUAAACGAUGUCUACUAGCCGUUGGGGUCCUUGAGACUUUAGUGGCGCAGUUAACGCGAUAAGUAGACCGCCUGGGGAGUACGGCCGCAAGGUUAAAACUCAAAUGAAUUGACGGGGGCCCGCACAAGCGGUGGAGCAUGUGGUUUAAUUCGAUGCAGCGCGAAGAACCUUACCUGGUCUUGACAUAGUGAGAAUCCUGCAGAGAUGCGGGAGUGCCUUCGGGAAUUCACAUACAGGUGCUGCAUGGCUGUCGUCAGCCCGUGUCGUGAGAUGUUGGGUUAAGUCCCGCAACGAGCGCAACCCUUUUCCUUAUUUGCCAGCGGGUUAAGCCGGGAACUUUAAGGAUACUGCCAGUGACAAACUGGAGGAAGGCGGGGACGACGUCAAGUCAUCAUGGCCCUUACGACCAGGGCUACACACGUGCUACAAUGGUAGGUACAGAGGGUUGCUACACAGCGAUGUGAUGCUAAUCUCAAAAAGCCUAUCGUAGUCCGGAUUGGAGUCUGCAACUCGACUCCAUGAAGUCGGAAUCGCUAGUAAUCGCAGAUCAGAAUGCUGCGGUGAAUACGUUCCCGGGCCU